CUCAUCAGGGUUUGCCUGUUCUAGCCCAGAGUCCCCCAUCAGGAACUUUCUCUGUAUUAGGCAGCCCCCAAAAAGCUAUUUUUGUGACCUAAAGAAAAAAUGGCUCACUGAAACAGAACUUUGCUGAUCUGGUUUCAGAGAAUUCUACGAGAUGAAACAUCCCAUGGAACUGAACACAGAACGGGCAUAUCUGGAUGGGGGUGCAGGAGCAGAGGCCUACAGCUAAAAGUAGAUGCACUUUAUCAUUCUAGCUCAAGACUCCUCCUCAUUUUUUCCUUUGGCCUGGAGUGAGGGGACGUUUGAAUUCUCUUCAGUCAGAAAGACCCACUACACUGGCAGAUCUCCCAAGAAGAUCCCCUUCGGGCUGAUAGACUGUCUUUUCACUGCGUUAAAUCUGGCCUUUUAGAGCUAAUCAGAAGGUGGCUGGCUUAGGGCAGUCUUGACGGGAGAGCAGGAGGAGCAACCGUUGAAAGAAGAGGGGAGAUAGUGAAAUUAAAGUUGCGGUGGUAAAAUUGGAUUGGGAGAGAGGCCACUGAUGGAUAAGGUCAGAAAGUCAGGUAUAGUUUACCUGGAUGGUUCUGCUGUGGAUCUCUCUAAGAUUUCACUCAAGAUGUUGGUUGGGUCUGCAGUCAUCUGAGGACUUGACUGGGGCUGAAGGAUCUCCUUCCGAGAUAACUCACCCUUGUGCCUGGCAAGCUGAUGCUGACUUGGAUGGAGAAAGAGAAUCAGAAAGAGAAUCGCCUCACCUGUGAAGAUGUGCAUAUAAUAUAAGAAAUUGAAGAAAACAGCUUCAUCUUUAACAACAUGACUAGCUGAUCUGACAUCUGGCUGGCUUGCAUCAGUGGAAAUGCAACGACUUCCUGGUCCAAGAGCAGCCUGCUCUGGGAGCUGAAGUCCUCCUGUGUAUUCCUUGAACUGGAUCCAAAUUCAUUACAGAUAGACUGUGAAACGGACAUAGAUGAUGAAGCUGGUGAAGAGGAGGGGGCAGGAGGGAAGGCAAGCAAGGGACGGAGACAAGCCUUCCCUGGAAUAUUUGCCGAGUGAACGUCCUCUGUGCAGACUCACAUGAUGCUUUGUCAUCUUUGGGAGAAGAGCCAAUAUUAUAAAAAGUUGCUGGGGAAAAAAUGGAUCACGGCAGAAUAACCAGGGCAUUUAACCAGCCUGAGUUUGGAGGCGAUGGUUGCUGGCCUCUGUGGGUUUCCCGGGUCAAAGAAACAGAAUUUAGAACCUGGAAGUGUUGAUCAAGACGAACACUGCAACUUUGAUCAGCUAAGUAUGAAUAAAUCAGAAAUGUAUGCUUUAAAUUCCCUUCGAAAUACAUACAUACUUACAGGUUAAGGGGAGAAAGCGUUUGGCAGAAUACAUCUCAGAAGUUGCCAGCCAUAUAAUGCUUGAAAAAUUGCCAGUUCCACUUUGCCAAACCUAAAAGCAGCCAGGUUUGCUCAUCUCUACAUUAAAGGAACAUUAAGGUCUUUAUCUAUUGACCUGAACCUAAUAAAGAAGGGGAAUUUUAGAGCUGAGACUAAUGUGUUUUUUUUUUUAAAUCACCUCCUACUGCCUAAUUAUUGUUGAGAUCUCUGUGCGAUGUUGCAUAUCUAAUCCAUGAUACUCAAUAAUACCCAAGUGUGGAGCUGGCAAAUAAGUCAAGGAUGUUAUAAAGAGGGCAGGGACCAAUUAGCCUCAUUAGGUCGAGCAAGCCUCAGAACAAGUGAUAGCCUCUGACUGCAGUAAGGAAAAAUUAGAUGAAAUGUUAGAAAAGAUGGCAUUACAUAACAGGCAAAGCCACAGCUGCAUCAGAAUAUAAAAUCACUUAAAAUUUUUUUUUAUGUUUAUUUAUUUUAUUUUAUUUUUUAUUGAGAGACACAGAGCAUGAGUGGGGGAGGGGCAGAGAGAGAGGGACACAGAAUCCGAAGCAGGCUCCAGGCACUGAGCUGUCAGUACAAAGCCUGAUGCAGGGCUCGAACUCGUGAAUGAAGAGAUCAUGACCCAAGCCAAAGUUGGAAGCUUAACUGACUGAGCCACCCGGGUGCCUAUGUUUGUUUAUUUUUGAGAGAGAGAGAGUGAUAGGGAGAGAGAGAGGUAGGGAGAGACAGAGCAUGAGCAGGGGAGGGGCACAGAGAGAGGGAGACACAGAAUCCGAAGUAGGCUUGAGGCUCUGAGCUGUCAGCACAGAGCCCGAUGUGGGACUUGAACUCAUGAACUGUGAGAUCAUGACCUGGCUGAAGUUGGAUGCUUAACCAACUAAGCCACCCAGGUGAGCCUAUAAAAUCACUUUCUAAAGAGCCCAAAGUAGAAAGCAUACAGUAGACACAUUCUUGAAAUUCUAAGAAACAAGUGUUCAAAUAAUAGUGUGAUUACUAUUUGUUAGAUUAUUAUUGCUGCUAUUAUUAGGUACCUAGCAUGCACUUACCGAGCACGUUCUGUGCUAAGCCCUUUGCAUAUACUGUUGAUAAACCUAACAGCACAAGUAUUUAAACAGUUUGUGUGAUUUCUUUUGUAAAAGUCCUGAUGAGAAUCUUGCUUGAAGUCAUGCUGUUCACCUGAAUCUUACGUUUCUAUGGAAAGGUAUCUCCGGGCAGCCAGAAUGCCUGAGACGUAGAGGUUCUUGCAGAUUUCCAACCAUUCAAACAUCCGGUCUUGCCGAGUCUGCUCCAACGUGAUUAUUUGUAAUAUAUGUUAGAACCGGUUUAACAACUGUGAGGGAUAGGUGCCCUCCUCCAUGAUCACGUUUACUGAGAAGGUGCAAAUAGUAUUUCUUAGAGUUAAUGGACCAGGUGGUGUUUUGGAUAUACCUAACUGGCCAAAUCUAUAGUGAUUAUGGAUAUGCGAGAUAAUAUUUACUGAGAGCUUAUCAUGUACCAGAUAAUGUUGUGAUAGUUCCUAUAUAUAGUAAUUCAUUUAUUUCUUUUAAAUAUUUAUUUAUUUAUUUAU